rnacentral:snRNA from 1 species
AUCUUUUCUUGGCUUUUUAGCUAAAAAAAAAAAAAAUCUGUUCUUAUCAGUUUAAUAUCUGAUACGUCCCCUACCCGGGGACAUAUAUUAAAUUGAUUUUUGGAGCAGGGAGAUGGAAUAGGGGCUUGCUCCGUCCACUCCACGCAUCGACCUGGUAUUGCAGUAUUUCUAGGAACGGUGCACCCCCU